CAAGGACGCCAGGGGGGGCCAGAGGGGGUGGGGAAGCCGGGGGGGGGGGGGGGGGAUCAUCCCCUAGGCCACGAGAUCAGAAACUUCGAGAAAGUUCUUUUGUUUUUUUUUUUUUUUUUAGUUUAUUGAUGUCCUUCCAACCACUGGAGAUGCUACAUAAUAAUGUGUUACACAGGAGCUCAGGGACACGGAGCUGAAAAGGAGCCAGCCCCCAACAAAUCAUGACCCAGCCUUUGACAAUGAUAUCUCGGGAUCCUAAUGGGUUAGGCAUCCCGCACAGCUUCGCAGCAUCUGCAAACUUGGUCAACCCAGGAUCUUUACACGUCCUUCAUUAAAAAGCGGCCGGAAGUGGCCGGCGCAGGGGCAGGGGACACCGAGACAGUCUCCCCCCACACUGACACGGAGGGGCGCUAAGCAAAGUGUCUGGCGGAGAAAGGCGAGCCCUGCCGGGCAGGGGGUGUAAGUCCGGCCUUUCUCCCUCGCCUAGACCGCCCUCACCCUGAGAGCGGGGGCUCGCCUUGUGGGUGUCCCACAGGGUCCCGCAGCAUCACAUCCCUCGCGCCUCCUUCUCUGCGCAACCCCCACAUUCGGGCCCCCUUUCCCAGGACUCUGAGGGCUUUUGUGGGAAAGAGAAGAUCAGAACGGACACCUCCAGAGAGUGGAAAGCUGUCUGAUAGGCUGGUGAGGUUUGACUGCCCGGCUCCUUCUCCUUUACUGCUAAAGGGGCCAACCCCAAAUUCAUAAUGACUGCAGCCCUGGGGAAUAGAGGAGACCUGGAAACUUCAAGCAAUCCUACCUCAGCGGAGACCAUAAAUACAACGUUCCUGCCCUGGAUAACUUCAUGCUUCCCUGCAUAUUCGUGCCCUACAUGCAUUAUUUCUCCCGAUAGAAUACAAGCCCCUCAUUCUGAAUGAUGUCAAAUAAAUACUUGAAAGAAAGAUGAAGAAAUGGACUAGCACAAUAGUAAUAUUACUAGUUUGUUUUUUAACUUACAGCUCCUGCUCUGGAUAUCUGUGCUCUACAUGUAUUGUUUCUCCUAUUAGAAUGUAAGCUCCUCGUUCUGAAUGAUGCAAAAUAAAACUAGAAAGAUGAAGAAAUGGACCAACACAAUGGUAAUAUUGCUAGUUUUUUUUUUUUAAUUUACAGCUUCUGCCCUGGAUAACUUCACCCUUCCCUGCAUAUCCGUGCUCUACAUGUAUUGUUUCUCCCCUUAGAAUAUA